GUCGCGAUGGCGGCCUCCAUCUGCGCCGGCCGUCGUCAUCGCCAUCAGAGAUGGUUCAGGGCACAGGGCCGUUGCCGUGGCGGCGGCGGCGAGCUGUUGCAUAAUCUCCAUCGCCAUCGAUUCUUCGUGCGGCCGGUAUCACCAUAUACUGAGGAAUAAAAUGGACAUGGAAGCUUUGGCAAUCUCUGCCGAGAAUCAUGAAGAAGCAGAAUAAGGUGUUGAUAAUGGUGAGUGAGGGUGUUGUGCUCAAUGAAUCAGCCAACCAGCCAUGUUUCCUGAACCACGAGACUAUUGACGAACCUGAAAGCACGACGACGAGCACCACCUACACAACACGUCAACACGCAGCUCCCCGAAGGAGAGAGCUCGCCGGUGAAGGAAGCAGCGACGGCGUGGUUAGUAGCGGAAGGGGAAAACACUCUUACAGUUACAGGGGGUAGAGGACGCUUCUCGGCGAAGGAAAGGGUGCGGGCGUGCGGCGCUGUUCACCGGAAUGCGUCGUGAGAACUGCCGCGCGCUGGCCGCGAAUCAAUCCAUGAGAAGGGAUGUGGAUACGGAUAUGGGCUUUUACUUCUGGACGAAAUUGCCCCUUGCUAAUGGUGAUUACUCGGUUAAUCAACUUUUAAUCCUCACCAUUGACGUGCUUUAA